rnacentral:rRNA from 1 species
UACGAAGGGGGCUAGCGUUGUUCGGAAUUACUGGGCGUAAAGCGUGCGCAGGCGGUCGUUCAAGUCGCGUGUGAAAGCCCCCGGCUCAACUGGGGAGGGUCACGCGAUACUGAUCGACUCGAAGGCAGGAGAGGGUAGUGGAAUUCCCGGUGUAGUGGUGAAAUGCGUAGAUAUCGGGAGGAACACCAGUGGCGAAGGCGACUACCUGGCCUGUUCUUGACGCUGAGGCGCGAAAGCUAGGGGAGCAAACGGG